AUGCGACUUCGGUCAAAUGACUUUUGAACUUAGUGGCGGACGGGUGAGUAACGCGUGAGCAACCUGCCUUUCAGAGGGGGAUAACAUUUGGAAACAGAUGCUAAUACCGCAUAAGAUUACAGUACCGCAUGAUACAGUGAUCAAAGGAGCAAUCCGCUGAAAGAUGGGCUCGCGUCCGAUUAGAUAGUUGGUGAGGUAACGGCUCACCAAGUCGACGAUCGGUAGCCGGACUGAGAGGUUGAACGGCCACAUUGGGACUGAGACACGGCCCAGACUCCUACGGGAGGCAGCAGUGGGGAAUAUUGCACAAUGGGCGAAAGCCUGAUGCAGCAACGCCGCGUGAGGGAAGACGGUUUUCGGAUUGUAAACCUCUGUUUUCGGUGACGAAUAAAUGACGGUAACCGAGUAGGAAGCCACGGCUAACUACGUGCCAGCAGCCGCGGUAAUACGUAGGUGGCAAGCGUUAUCCGGAAUUACUGGGUGUAAAGGGAGCGCAGGCGGGAUAGCAAGUCAGCUGUGAAAACUAUGGGCUCAACCCAUAAACUGCAGUUGAAACUGUUAUUCUUGAGUGGAGUAGAGGCAAGCGGAAUUCCGAGUGUAGCGGUGAAAUGCGUAGAUAUUCGGAGGAACACCAGUGGCGAAGGCGGCUUGCUGGGCUCUAACUGACGCUGAGGCUCGAAAGUGUGGGGAGCAAACAGGAUUAGAUACCCUGGUAGUCCACACUGUAAACGAUGAUUGCUAGGUGUGGGGGGUCUGACCCCCUCCGUGCCGGAGUUAACGCAAUAAGCAAUCCACCUGGGGAGUACGGCCGCA
rnacentral:rRNA from 1 species